rnacentral:rRNA from 1 species
GACGAACGCUGGCGGCGUGCUUAACACAUGCAAGUCGAACGGAAAGGCCUCUUUCGGGGGGUACUCUCGUGUCGAACGGGUGAGUAACACGUGAGUAACCUGCCCUUGACUUUGGGAUAACUUCCGGAAACUGGGGCUAAUACCGGAUAGAAGCUCCUGCUGCAUGUUGGGUGUUGGAAAGUUUCGGGGGUUGGGGUUGGCCUCGCGGCUUAUCAGCUUGUUGGUGGGUAAUGGGCUUACCAAGGCUUGGACGGGUAGCCGGCCGGGAGGGUGAACGGGCAAAAUGGGACUGAGGAACCGCCCAGGAUCCUAAGGGGAGGAAGAGUGGGGGAAAAUGGAAAAAGGGGGGAAGGCUGAUGGAGGAAAGGCGGGGGGGGGAAGAAGGGCUUCGGGUUGGAAAACGCUUUCGCUCAUGACGAAGCUGUGAGUGACGGUAGUGGGUAAAGAAGCACCGGCUAACUACGUG